rnacentral:rRNA from 1 species
CAGCCGCCACGGUAAUACGAAGGGGGCUAGCGUUGCUCGGAAUGACUGGGCGUAAAGGGCGCGUAGGCGGCGGCCAAAGUCAGGCGUGAAAUUCCCGGGCUCAACCUGGGGGCUGCGUUUGAUACUUGGUUGCUUGAGUGGGGAAGAGGGUCGUGGAAUUCCCAGUGUAGAGGUGAAAUUCGUAGAUAUUGGGAAGAACACCGGUGGCGAAGGCGGCAACCUGGUCCUUGACUGACGCUGAGGCGCGAAAGCGUGGGGAGCAAACAGGAUUAGAGACCCGUGUAGUCCCUGUCUCUUAUAC